rnacentral:misc_RNA from 1 species
CAACAAGGCCAUGGGCCCCCUCGCAAGAAGGGGUACCGGCCUGACUUAUAUACCCACCCUUUGCCUAUGUGUACCUCUAUCGCUUCCUCGGCAGGCUUGCCUGCCGCUAGGAACCACUUAAACCCUUUGCAUUAUACAUUAACACUUCUGAUACAAACCAAAAUUAUUA